rnacentral:snoRNA from 1 species
CCGACAUCACCUGGAUUCGCGUGACUGGUUCCCUUUUCGCGGAGGGUUCCGGUCUGCGUGCAUCCGAAAUCGGGGACUGGUGACGCCACUUCAAUGUGUCAUCGCACCUCAAUGUCGUAGAUUAAACGGUCCGCCGGUUGCAAAACCGGAAGUUGACCAAAGUUGAUAUAUUCCUGAUCCUUGGCGUAUUGCCCGUUGGGCUCUGACCGCUAUAGAUAAACCAUAUCAGCUACAUUU